GAUGAACGCUGGCGGCGUGCCUAAUACAUGCAAGUCGAGCGAACGGACGAGAAGCUUGCUUCUCUGAUGUUAGCGGCGGACGGGUGAGUAACACGUGGAUAACCUACCUAUAAGACUGGGAUAACUUCGGGAAACCGGAGCUAAUACCGGAUAAUAUUUUGAACCGCAUGGUUCAAAAGUGAAAGACGGUCUUGCUGUCACUUAUAGAUGGAUCCGCGCUGCAUUAGCUAGUUGGUAAGGUAACGGCUUACCAAGGCAACGAUGCAUAGCCGACCUGAGAGGGUGAUCGGCCACACUGGAACUGAGACACGGUCCAGACUCCUACGGGAGGCAGCAGUAGGGAAUCUUCCGCAAUGGGCGAAAGCCUGACGGAGCAACGCCGCGUGAGUGAUGAAGGUCUUCGGAUCGUAAAGCUCUGUUAUUAGGGAAGAACAUAUGUGUAAGUAACUGUGCACAUCUUGACGGUACCUAAUCAGAAAGCCACGGCUAACUACGUGCCAGCAGCCGCGGUAAUACGUAGGUGGCAAGCGUUAUCCGGAAUUAUUGGGCGUAAAGCGCGCGUAGGCGGUUUUUUAAGUCUGAUGUGAAAGCCCACGGCUCAACCGUGGAGGGUCAUUGGAAACUGGAAAACUUGAGUGCAGAAGAGGAAAGUGGAAUUCCAUGUGUAGCGGUGAAAUGCGCAGAGAUAUGGAGGAACACCAGUGGCGAAGGCGACUUUCUGGUCUGUAACUGACGCUGAUGUGCGAAAGCGUGGGGAUCAAACAGGAUUAGAUACCCUGGUAGUCCACGCCGUAAACGAUGAGUGCUAAGUGUUAGGGGGUUUCCGCCCCUUAGUGCUGCAGCUAACGCAUUAAGCACUCCGCCUGGGGAGUACGACCGCAAGGUUGAAACUCAAAGGAAUUGACGGGGACCCGCACAAGCGGUGGAGCAUGUGGUUUAAUUCGAAGCAACGCGAAGAACCUUACCAAAUCUUGACAUCCUUUGACAACUCUAGAGAUAGAGCUUUCCCCUUCGGGGGACAAAGUGACAGGUGGUGCAUGGUUGUCGUCAGCUCGUGUCGUGAGAUGUUGGGUUAAGUCCCGCAACGAGCGCAACCCUUAAGCUUAGUUGCCAUCAUUAAGUUGGGCACUCUAAGUUGACUGCCGGUGACAAACCGGAGGAAGGUGGGGAUGACGUCAAAUCAUCAUGCCCCUUAUGAUUUGGGCUACACACGUGCUACAAUGGACAAUACAAAGGGCAGCGAAACCGUGAGGUCAAGCAAAUCCCAUAAAGUUGUUCUCAGUUCGGAUUGUAGUCUGCAACUCGACUACAUGAAGCUGGAAUCGCUAGUAAUCGUAGAUCAGCAUGCUACGGUGAAUACGUUCCCGGGUCU
rnacentral:rRNA from 1 species